AUUGAACGCUGGCGGCAUGCUUUACACAUGCAAGUCGAACGGCAGCGCGGGCUUCGGCCUGGCGGCGAGUGGCGAACGGGUGAGUAAUACAUCGGAACGUGCCCAGUAGUGGGGGAUAGCUCGGCGAAAGCCGGAUUAAUACCGCAUACGACCUGAGGGUGAAAGCGGGGGAUCUUCGGACCUCGCGCUAUUGGAGCGGCCGAUGGCAGAUUAGCUAGUUGGUGGGGUAAAGGCCUACCAAGGCGACGAUCUGUAGCUGGUCUGAGAGGACGACCAGCCACACUGGGACUGAGACACGGCCCAGACUCCUACGGGAGGCAGCAGUGGGGAAUUUUGGACAAUGGGCGAAAGCCUGAUCCAGCAAUGCCGCGUGUGUGAUGAAGGCCCUCGGGUUGUAAAGCACUUUUGGCGGGAACGAAAAGGACUGGGCCAAUACCACGGUUCGAUGACGGUACCCGCAGAAUAAGCACCGGCUAACUACGUG
rnacentral:rRNA from 1 species